rfam:Candidate division WWE3 bacterium RIFCSPLOWO2_01_FTLL_53_14 rifcsplowo2_01_scaffold_13808, whole genome shotgun sequence.
GGGUGCUUAGCUCAGUGGUUAGAGCGCUGCAUUCACAUUACAGAGGUCGCUGGUUCAAAUCCAGCAGCACCCA